rnacentral:lncRNA from 10 species
AGAAACUCGUGGGAUCAUCCAGUUGGGCUCCCAAUCCUUUCAUUUGUUUUUGUUUUUUUGAAACAGUCUCGCUCUGUCGCCCAGGCUGGAGUGCAGUGGCCAGAUCUUGGCUCACUGCAACCUCCCAUCUGCCAGGUUCAAGUGAUUCUCCUCCUUCAGCCUCCUGAGUAGCUGAGAUUACAGGCACCUGCCACCACACUCAGCUAUGUAUUUUUAGUAGAGAUGGGGUUUCACCAUGUUGGCCAGGGUGGUCUCAAACUCCUGACCUCAAGUGAUCUUCCUGUCUUGGCCUCCCAAAGUGCUGGGGUUACAGGCUUGAGCCACCGCACCUGGCUCCCAGUCCUCUCAUUUGUAAAGAUAAGGAUGCUGAGUCUAGUGAGGUGGAGCAGCUUGCCAAGCCCACACAACUAGUUAAGGCAGAGCCAGCAUCGAAGCCCACAUCUCUUGGCUCUCAGUCAAGUCCUUUCCACUGUACUAAAGGAGACCAUAUUUAGAAAAGAUUAAAAUGCUGAAAUUUUCUCUCCACAUCUGUAUUUUAAAGAAAAGGAAAUCUCUAAUAUGAAUUAUAGUCACUAUUUCCAGUGUUUAACUGAAAAAUACUGGAGCUCUGAAAAAUUUUCAGGUUUGUCCUUCAUAAUCUACAUGGAAAAUAAUGAAAAAGCCAACUCCACCUCCCGCUAUGAACAUACUGCUCACUGUCUGAUGUACUGGGUGUACAGCUGCUCUGAGCCUUUCUCUUGAACACCCUUCUAUUUAUUUUAUUGCAAAGUUAUUGUGGAUUUUGGAAUCAACUGAAGUAUUUCUUAGUUUACAACAAUGUUGUUCAAGGUUCACCAUUAAAAAUCAUAAUGGUAAAAAUACUAACAGCCCUUUCCUCUAUUAGAAAUAAUUUGAAAAGUACCUUAAGAUAAUAUUUCAGAGGAACAUUUCAACUUACAGCAUAUCUGACAUUCGUCAUCUUAAUGCCUGGAAAAGAAUUCUUGUCAAGAAGGAGUUUGUUCUUUUACUAGUAGGAAGUGCAUUACUCUAAGUAUAUAUGCUUGCUUCAGCUCUCUGGAGGAUCAGAGUAGUAAUAAUAAUAUAUUUCUUGAGUGCUUACUAACUGCUAAUCUCUGGAAUAAACCUUUACAUGCAUUACCUCAUUGAAUUCUCACAGCUACCUCAUGAGAUUGUUAUUAUAAUCCCUACUUUACAAGUGAAGUAAUUAAAGUUGAAGAUCAUCAGGUUGAUAAAUGGCAGUGACUGAAAUUUAAGCAAUCUCAGUUCAGGCCCUAGCUCUGUGUUAGCAUGUGAAGUCUCCUGAGGAAGAGACUGCUUCCCAGGCUCGACAUUAUUUGGUUAGGGCCUUGGUCAGGAAGGACUUUCUGCAUGGAGUAAUGACCAGGUUAAGACCUGAAGAGACUACAGUGGUGGAGUACAUGGGCAGUAGGCACAGACGGCAGGGGGUAACUGCUAUUCCCUGCUCAUCAGAUUCUACCAGCAUUAUGUCAUUAAUAUAGAGGAUCAGCAUGAUGGCUUAUGGAAUGGUAAAAUAAGGUAAGUUUUUGAAGACUAACUACAGCACAAUGCCAAAUUGUUGAAAGGAAGCAAUCAUGACCGUAACCUUCUGACUCUACUGGCUGAAGAAAAAUGUGUGUGUGUGUGUGUGUGUGUGUGUGUGAAUUGUAGCAUACAAGGUACCAGGAGCCUAGUUUAUUUGUUCCAUUAAAAAGCUUACAUAUGUAUCAGCAGCUAUAAGUGAAGUCAUCAUCUGAUUAAGUUAAUAAUAAGCUGUUGAUUUUUUUUUUUUUUUUUUUACUAAGGCUAAUCUGUUUUCUACAUGAUACAAAAGCACAAGUUAGAUGGGGACAGAACAGGAUUUACAACUUCAGGAUUUUUAAGUACUUGAUAGCGGCACUAAUAUCUGAAAUUCCCUCAGGAGUGCAGAAUUGAUUUUGAUUUACUAUUUUAGUAGUAAGGACUUAUUCCUGAGGCGCUCAGUUUGCUGUUUCUACCACAAUCCUUUUCUUCAUAGUUCAGGGAUCCAGUGUUGGGAUUCUGUCAGUAACUAAGUAUAUCUCUUCCAGUUGAGCAUUCAUGAAUGGUGGGAAUAAACACAAGUGUGUUCUUAGACACACAAGGCCCACUUUGAGAUGAAGUUGAGCCAAAACUCUGGUUAUCAGUUGACCCCUCAGUAUUUCCUUCCUUUCUUUUUUUUAUUGUGAAUGUUAUAUAUUUAUUUUUAUUAUAAAUUGAUAAUUUAUAAUUAUAUAUAUUUAUGGGAUACAAAGUGAUGUUAUGAUUUAUGAAUACAAUAUGGAGUAACUAAAUCAAGCUAACUGACAUAUCUAUCACCUCAAAUACUUAUCACUUUCUGUGGUGAGAACGUUUGAAAUGUACUCUGUUAGCAAUUUGGAAAUAUUUCAAAUACACUAUUAUUAAUUAUAUUCACUAUGCUGUGCAAUAGACCUCAAAACCCCCAACAACACCUUAUUCUGAGGUUUUGUACUCUUUGUUCAUCUUCUCCCUAUUUCCCCCACUCCCAGCCUCUGUAACCAGCAUUCUACAGACUCUCUGCUUCUAUGAGUCUGAUUGUUCUUGAUUCUACAUAUAAGUGAGAAUAUUCAGUGUUGGUUGUUUUGUGUCUGAUUUAUUCAAUUUAACAGAAUGUUCACUAAUUCCAACCACGUUAUUGCAAAUAACAGAAUUUCCUUAUUUUUAAGAGUGAAACACAGUCUAUUUUGUAUAUGUCCUCUCAGGAAAUCUAGUUGGGAGGUGGGUUGUACUUGGUUAGUCUAUUUAACAUUUCUAUUUUCUUAUAACAUGAAAUCCUUUCCUGACAGUAUUCUAAGGAUUUUUGGCAUGUCUAGUUUAUUUAGUGAAAGUAUAGUUAUAUGUAUAAAUUCUCAUUGUGAUCUUUAAUUCUGUUUCUUCUUCCCUGGCAUUCUUAGAAUCCUUUUUCUUGAUAUUCUCCAGGUUAAUAACAAUGCAAAAUAACAAAACAGUUUAAUUAUUUUGGUGCAUAUGCUGUUGACUUUCUGAGUUACUGUUUGUACCAUUCUCACCAUAAUAUUUGGGUUUGAUUUUGGUUAUUAAUCUCAAAGCAAUGAAAGAUGGAAGGAAUGAAGCAUGAGAAGACUCAACAGCCUAUUUAAAAUAUAUCUUGCUCAGGUAAAGCCAUUGAAGACUCUAAGGUAAGGCAAGUCUCUACUCAUCAGACAGAGGAAGAACUGUUUCUGCUAACCAGGGUGCCCCGCUCCCUACCAUUUUAGGCAGUUAGAGACCUGGAGUACUCAUGGUUAUUUUAGUGUCUCCAAAUGUCUACAUUUAAAAUUAUCAGGAUACCACUCUUUCCCAAUUAAUAUGCUAAAUUUUCCAGGAAGUAUUUUCUUAAAUAUAUAUUUUUUAAUUUAAAAAAAAUAUUUUUAAAUUGAUUAUACAAUAAAAUGUGUAUAUAUUUAUCAUGUAUAAUAUAUUGCCUUGAAAUACAUAUGCAUUGUGGAAUAGCUAAAUUGAGCUAAUUAACAUAUGCAUUACCUCGCAAACUUAUCAUUUUUUGUUAGGAGAACACUUACAAUCUACUCUCUUAGCAACUUUCAAGAAUAGAAUACAUUAUUAUUAACUAUUGUUACCAUGUUGUACAACAGAUCUUUUGAACUCAUUUCUUAUCUAACUGAAAUUUUGUAUCUUUUGACCAGCAUCUCUUUGAUCCUCCCCUCCUUUCCCAGUCCCUGGUAACCACCAUUCUAUUUUUUAUUUCCUUAAAUUGAACUUUUUUAGAUUCUACAUAUAAGUGAGAUUAUGCAGUAUUUGUGUUUCUGUGCCUGGCUUAUUUCACUAACCAUAAUGUUCUCCAGGUUGGUGUAUGUUGUUGCAAAUGACAAGAUUUUCUUCAUUUUUUUUAGGCUGAAUAGUAUUCUAUUGUGUAUAUGUACCACAUUUUCUUUAUCUAUUCAUCCAAUGAUGGACAUUUAGAUUGUUUCCAUAUUCUGGCUAUUGUGAAUAAUGCUGCAAUAAACAUGAGAGUACAGACAUCUCUUUGAUGUACUGAUUUUAUUUCUUUUGAAUACAUACCCAGUAGUGAGAUUACUGGAUCCAGAAAGGCUAGAUAAUCUUGUGAACUGGCUUAUGUUAAUCAUAACCUGAACUGGAAUUUUAAAUCCUAAACUAGUUGUUUCAUUUUUUAUUAGUCUCAGUAAUGUAGUUAAAAGUAGAGAACUUCAUGAACUUUACAUUCUUCAUUUUUACCAUAGUAUUUUAUUUUAGUGGCCAUUUGUUUCAUCGAGGCAUUGACUCCAAAAGACACUUCAUUCCAGGUGACCAUGGGCGAUAAGUAAUUGCUUUACCAAUGCAUAUUAUGGAUUUCUCUAGAUCCUACCAUUUAGUUUUAGUGGAAGACUAUCUCUGCUGAAGCCUAGUUAGAUCAGAUAGCAAAUCUUAGAUCGCUCUUUAUUUCAUACUCUGUUGUAGAGAUAUUCAGUUGCAAAGAAUAGACUCUAGCUUGUUUAAUAAAGGAUUUACUGUAACAUUAUAUAAAAUUCAGAAAUAUUGGAAUAAUUGCAGAAACAAGUUAUACUCUGAGCUUCGAGAAAGGAUUCAUAAAGGCAUGGAACAGAGCUGGCUGCAAGUAUAGCUCUGUUAAAAUGAGAAAACUGCCCACCAAAUUGGGAAGCUAUCACUAUAGGUACUAGCUUCAGAACCAUGCUGCAGCUGGAAUAAUCCACACUAGCAAAAUAAAUGCUUCAUUCUAUGCUUCUAUUUUUACUUCCUCAGUUCUGAGUUCAAGUUUCAAAACAAAACAAAAUGCAUGAAUUGGUGGAACUUAAAUCAUACCUGGAAGUGUAUGUACAAAUUCAUUCGGGAAAUGUAGUUUUUAUCACAUCUGCCUCUGUAAUACACUACAGGAAGAUCCCAGUAGAAGUUUAGAAAGCCACUUGGACAUAAGCAAAAUGGUGGAAUAGAAGAUUCCAGUCCUCACCCCUUCGCAGAAACAUCAAUUUUCACAGCUACCCAUGGGUGAGAAUACAUUUUGGGGAACCCUGGAGUCCAGCUGAGAGAAUCCAGCAUUUGGGGACGUGCUCAUUGAAGAGGGUAAGAAAAGUAGUUUCACUUUACCUGCAUCACCACCUCUUCCCGAAGGUGGCACAGCUCAGUACUGGGAGAGGUUUCCUCAAACCACAAUUUUAUCCGUGAAGGAGAGCAAGAGUGAAGUGCACUUGUGGCUUCAGAAGUCUUAUAGGACACUACCCUGAAGGCUCAUUUCUGUUUCAUGCCAACCAAAACACUGAAGGAAUUGGCACAGCUACAUGGUCUAAGGGUAGCUAGGAACAAGGACUAGUAGCACAUGGAUCUCAGCAACUGGAUAUGGUUCCUGUUAACUGGAUCAUGGACUCUACCAAGAGACACACCCAUGAAUUCAGCAAAACAACUUGCCUACGGACACCCCCAAACAGCCAACAAACAAUAUCAGCACCUUGCAUGUGCCCCUAUAUCAGUGCCCUGGAUGUCCCCAUGAAUGGCAUCCCAUGGUUAUUGUGCAUGAGUCCCUUCAUACAGCAUAACAAAUUUCAGGAACAGAAUUUCAGUAGCCAGCUUGACUCUGUAGGACUGGGAUAAUGGCCACAACCUUGAAAACUUCAGAACACUGUCUUAGGGAAAAUAAAUGAGAGACUCUCAGUAUCCAGCCUGGCUUUGUGGAAUUGAGAAAAGGCACAUAAUCCAGGGCUUCUCCUCCUAGGAUUAGGAGGAAAUUUUUGAAAGUGAGAAAAAAACCACCAGUCACAUACAAAGGAACCUCAAUAAAACUCUCAGUGGAAUUCUUAGCAGAAACUAUGCAGACUAAAAGAGAGUGGGAUGAUAUAUUCAAAGUGCGAAAGAAAGAAAAAAAUCUGUCAAAAAGAAUGCUAUGCUCAGCAAAGCUGUUCUUCAGAAAUGAAGGAGAAAUUAAGACUUUUUCAGACAAACAAAAACUAAGGUAGUUUAUCAACACUAGACUUGCCCUACAAGAAAUGCUAAAGGGAGUUCUUCAGGUUGAAAUGAAGGAUACUAAUUUGCAACAUGAAAACACAUAAAAUAUAAACUCACUGGUAAAGGCAAUUAUGAAAAAAUAUGUAGUAGCUACAUAAAGAUAUCCUGAGCUAAAUCAAAAUAUAACAAUAUAAAAUCAUCAAAUCACAAAAAAAGACUGCAAUGGAGAAAGAAAGAAAGGAACUACAAAAUAGUUAGAAAAUAAUUAACAAUAUGGCAAUAUCUAGUCCUGCCUAUCAAUAAUAACUUUAAAUGUAAAUUGAUUAAAUUAUUUUAUCAAAAGACAGAGUGACUGAGUGGGUUAAAAAAAAGAAAAACCAUUUAUAUGGUAUCUACAAAAGACUCACUUUAGCUUUAAGGACACGCAUAGGCUGAAAAUGGAAAGGUGGAAAAAGAUAUUUUAUCCCAAUGAUAACCAUGGUAGUUGUAUUUAUAUUAGACAAAGUAGUCUUUAUGACAAAAACUAUCAUAAGAGAUACGUCAUAUAAACAAGCAUAUAAACCAAUGGAGCAGAAUCGAGAGCCUGGAAAUAAGCUCAUGCAUAUAUGCUCAACUAAUCUUCAAGAACAGCACCAAGAAUAAAGUAAGGGAAAAGAUAGUCUUUUCAAUAAAUGUUGUUGGGAAAGCUGGAUAUCCACAUGCAAAAGAAUAAAUUUGAACUUUUAUCCUACCCCAUACACAACAAUAAACUCAAAAUGGAAUAAAGAAGUACAUGUAAGAUCCCAAAAGAAAACAUACAGAAAAAGCUUCCUCACAUUGAUCUUGGCCAUGGUUUUUUUGGUUAUGACACCACAAGCAAAGACAAUGACAGCAAAAAUUAAGUGAGAUUGCAUCAAACCAUAAAGCUUCUACACAGCAAAGGAAACAAUCAACAUAAUCAAAGUUAACCUAAAAAAUGCAAGAAAAUAUUUGCAAAAUAUAUAUUUGAUAAGGGGUUAAUAUUCAAUGUGUGUAUGAAACUCCUAUAACUCAAUAGUAAAAAAGCAAAUAAACUGGUUAAAAAAUAGCCAAAGGACCUGAACAAACAUUUCUCUAAAUGUACAAAUGGCCAACAGGUAUCUGAAAAGGUGUUCAAUAUCACUAAUUAUUAUGGACAUUUAAAUUAAAACCACAAUUUGCUAUCACCUCACACUUGUUCAAAUGGUCAUUAUUAAAACUGCAAAAAAUAACAAGUGUUGGUGAGGUGUAGAGAAAUUGGAACCCUGUGCAUUGUUAGUGAAGAUGUAAACUGGUGCUACCGCUAUGGAAAACAGUAUGGAGGCCUCUCAAAAAAUUAAAGAUAAAGUUACCAUAUUGUAUUAGUCUGUUCUUACACUGCUAUAAAGAUGCUAUCUGAGACUGGGUAAUUUAUAAAGGAAAGUGGUUUAAUUGACUCACAGUUCCACAUGGCUGGGGAAGCCUCAGGAAACUUACAAUCAUGGUGGAAGGUGAAGGAGAAGCAAGCACCUUCUUUACAAGGCAGCAGGAGAGAGAGAGUGCACAAGGAAAACGGCCACUUUUAAACCAUCAGAUCUCAUGAGAACUCCCUCACUAUCACGAGAACACGGUAAGGAAAACCGCCCCAUGAUCCAGUCACUUUCCUCCGGCACCCUCCCUCAACAUGUGGGGAUUAGACUCAGAGAUGAGAUUUGGGUGGGGACACAGAGCCAAACCAUAUCAGAUAUGAUCCAGCAGUCUGGCUUCUGGGUAUAUAUCCAAAGGAAUUGAAAUCACGAUGUGGAGAUAUCUGUACUUUUUUGUUCAUUACAGCAUUUUUCAGAGUAGCCAAGAUACGGAAACAAGCUAAAUGCGAAUUGAUGGAUGAAUAGAUAAGAAGCAUGUGAUGUGUAUAUAUAUUAUGUGUGGAGGGAAACAUGGAGCAUGACCUAACACAGCUACCAGCAUUGAUUUUGAUCGUAAGCCAGUUGCUCAAAGACCAGUGUGGAAAAGGCUUAAGAAGGAAGAGCACCAGAGGGAAAUUACCAUCUGGAGACAAAAUGACACUGGGAACUUGGAGGAAAACGUUCAGGCACACCGUAUGAGGAAGCAGAACACUGGUUGUAGGUUGUGUGUUGAUGGCUUUCUAUGAGUAAAUGCCCUGAAAAUGUAUGUGACUAAGCACCAUAAUGUGGAUUUCUGAAAGCUGAAUGACUUAAAGAAAAAUCUUCUUAUUUCUAAAAAAAUCAACAAGUGGUUUCUUUUAGCAAGUUCUUAAAUUUCUGUAAGGCAUGAAUGAUCUAUUAUGUAAGGAAAGUGUUUCAAUACAGGUAUUCUGUCCUUAAGUGUCAUGGAAACCAAACGUCCUAUAAUGCAAAGCUCUGCUGCGUGCAGAUCUGUCCUUCUUUCACUACUCUCUUCCAUAUUUAUAAUGUCUCUAUUCAUAGUUUAUGUGAAUAAUAAAGGCUGUGGAGUCCCCUGGAAUUCUUAUUUACUAUGCUCCCAUUUCCUUAAUUAUUAAAAGUUUUACACCUUCAUAAGAGAUGCUUAGUUGCUAGAGCCUCUCCAUACACUAAUUCCCAGAAGAUGCUUAAGACAUGAGUCCCAGGAAGGUAUCCAUUGCAGGAAUUCUGGAUAGGACUGUGAGCUUAUGGACAGACGUUGAUGCAAACUGACUUGAGACAGUGCAACCGUUAAGGUCCCUUUAGAAAAUAUUGGUAGCUGCAAAAUUUUGGGGGGAGAUGCAGUUUAUAUAUUUAUCCACAACAUUAUUACUAGUUUAUAAAUAAAUGUAAAUCUCAAACCAAAUUAUUAAACAAACACAGUUUACCAAGUAUGAACAAAACUGUGAAAAUUUGAUAACAUUCCCACUCUCAGUCCUUUCAAGUGCCCUUCUGAAGACCACCUUGCUUAAAACGUUUACUUGAAACAAUUAUAACAAUAAUCUGGAGGCAAGAUUUGGCUAAUACUAUAUCUGCCAUCACAAAAACAGAAUUCUCCACUGCACUGUCUGGACUCCAGUGCAAGUAAGAUCUAAGCCUCAAGCUUUGUGUCCAAAGAUCCUUUCAUGCAAGGGUGGGAGGUAUCUCUAAAUCUUUAGACAACACUCAUAUCUUAAAUACCACUACUGUUACCAAUAAGGACCUAUUUGUAAUAUUCAUUAUGCUUUCAUACAAGCAUGAUUUUCACAAAUGAAGCCCCAUUUCUUAUAUGCAUUAUUUUAAUCAGCAAAAAUCUAGCACUGACAAGAUAAAAAGAUAGCCGAAGUCCUUGUAGUACAUUUCUCUGAAGUGUGGACUUUCUGUUACAUGCUAGGUGAUCAUUCCUGGAAAGUGAAUUACCAAUUAAGGGUAUAAAUUAAACUAAAUAACACAUACAUAAUAUCACACAUCAAUGUUGAUAUAUUUUAAAGUAAAUUAAAGGUAGGCAAGUCACUAUUCACAAUAGCAGAAACAUGGAAUAAACCCAGGUGCCCGUCAACAGUGAAUUGGAUAAUGAAAAUAUGGUACAUAUGCACCAUGGAAUACUACACAGCUAUAAAGAGAAUGAAAUCAUGUCUUUUUGCAGCAACAUGGAUGCAGCUGGAGGCCAUUAUCCUAAGUGAACUAACGUGGAAACAGAAAACCAAAUACAUGCUCUCGCUUAUAAGGGAGCUAAACAUUGGGUACAUGUGGACACAAAGAUGGGAACAAGACACUGGGAAGUACUAGAGGAGUGAGUAAGGGGAGGAAUUAAAAAAAUACUUGUUGGGUAUUAUACUUACUAACUUGGUGACAGAUUCAUUCAUACUCCAAAUCUCAGCAUCAAGCAAUAUACCUUUGUUAAAAAUCUGCACAUGUACCCCCGAUUCUAAAAUAAAAGUAAAAAAGAAUAAAAAAAUUAAAAAAUUAAAAUGUGCAUUUGUUAUUCUGAAAUUUUCGGGGAUUAUAAGUGUUUAUGGUUUAAAAAGUUCAGGCUCAGGCCAGGCAUGGUGGCUCACACGGGUAAUCCCAGCACUCUGGAAGGCCAAGGCAGGCCAAUUGCUUGAGCUCAGGAGUUCCCAGCUUUGGCAACAUAGCAAAACGUUUCUACAAAACACACAAAAAAUCAGUAGGAUGUGGUGGCAUGUGCCUAUAGUCCCAGUUACUUGGGGUGCUGAGGUGGGAGGAUUGCUUGAGCCCAGGAGGCUGAGGUUGCAGUGAGCCAAGAUUGCACUACUACACCCCAGCGUGGGUGACAAAGUGAGACCCUGUCUCAAAAAAAAAAAAAAAAAGUUCCGUCUCAGGGAUAUUGCAGGAUUCAAGACUAGUAUUUUAGCCAUAUUGAGAUUUAAGUAAUUUUGCAUCAUAAUGAGGAAACAAAAACAACUGUGGAGUAGUAGCUCCAGAAUUUCUGACUCUAUUUGGAAGGAGGGUCUAGGAAACUUGUAUGGAAGCUCUGUUUGCAUAACAGGCCACUUUUUUACUUGGAUAUUAUGCUUAUUUGGAUGGUUUUGAACAUGAGAUUAUGGGUGAUCUGGCUUUGGUAUUUUCACCAGCCAAACUUGUGAAAUAUUACCCUUUAAAAAGCUGGGGUGGGUGUGUGUUUUGUUUUUAAUAAUUCAUCUGUAAUAUGUAUAAGGCAUUUAUACCACAUUUAAAAAUUUUUUGAAUGUUCGAUAAUUUUAAUCUAUAAGAGAGACUAAAUUAUUUGAUGAAUGGGAAGCUUUAUUGCAGAGUUGAUUUGAGCUCCACAGAUGACAGUAAGAGAUUGUAAAAGUUCAUUUUCUAUAACACUAAACAUUAGUGUAUACUAGGAUCUAAACAUAAUGGCAGGUCUAAUAACAAGUAUGUUUCUAGUCUAACAAUAUAGUAUUAUUUUAUAUUCAUAAUAUUUGUUUUUUCUAAGGAAGUAGUAAAUUGGAGUGUAACACAAUGAUCAAUCUAAGUGUUGCCAUAACAUUUAUAGUUUCAUUAGCCAAUUAUAAUCUUUGAUUGUGAUUUUUGAAAGCUAUUUACAAGGACAGCUUAACCAGUAUAAGACUUCACUUUUUCAUCUAUACAAUUACAAUUCUCUCUUGAAAGAAAAUUGCACUUGUAAAUCAUUGAUGAUGAAAGAAUCUGUAUAAAAUUUUAAGUUCUUCCUUAGGCUGCAAAUUAUAAUGAAAUUUUUAAACAUAUGGUUGUCAAUUAGUGUGCUUUUUUCCUUUUGAAAUAAACACUUCUGCCUUAAAAUCUUGCUCUUUUCUUUAGAAACUGAAGCCAUUUGUUCUUUGUUUUUAAAGUCUUUAAUCUUAAAACCUAUUUUAAAUUUCAAAAGGCUUAAAGCUUUUAUGUGGUCCCUUGAGCUUAGGCAAGAAAUAGAUUUUGGGAUCACUAACAUAUGGAAGAGAUUGGAUAAGAUCAUCCUGAGAGAGAAAAUGUAAUGAGAAAGAAUAGGACAGAGGAAAGAGCUCUGAGGGAUGCCAGCAUCUAGAAAAAAGGAAGAAAAGGAGUUCACAAUAAGAGAGAAGGGAAAUUUGGAUAUUAUGACAUCUUGAAUGCCAGGGAAAAAGAUGAGUCACUGUUUUACAUUUCUGGUUAGGUUAUAGAAGGUUGAAAAGACCAUUGAUUUCAUUGUAUCUAUGGAUAAACUAAAAAUAAUGUUUGAUAUGGUUUGGCUGUCUCCCUACCCAAAUCUCAUUUUGAAUUCUAGUUCCCAUAAUCCCCCAUGUGUCAUGGAAGGGACGUGGUGGGAGGUAACUGAGUCAUGGGGGUGCAUGGGGGUGGUUACCCCCAUACUGUUCUCAUGAUAGUGAGUGAGUUCUCACAAGAUCUGAUGGUUUUAUAAGGGGCUUUUCCCCCUUUUGCUCGGCACUUCUCUCUCCUCCCACCAUGUGAAGAAGGAUGUGUUUGCUUCCCCUUUUGCCAUGAUUGUAAGUUUCCUGAGGCCUCCUAAGCCCUGUGGAACUCUGAAUAAAUUAAACCUCUUUCCUUUAUAACUUACCCAGUCUUGGGCAGUUCUUCAAAACCCAGCGUGAGAACGUACUAACACAAUGUUUGUAUUUUAAGUCAUCAAAGAGUUGUAGAAUCAAAUAACUCUAAAGAAACUGAAUUCCAAAGUUAGAUAAACUUAUCUAGAUUAUCACAAGUCAAUGGCCACUUGCAUUCCGAGGGUAGUCUGGGGAUCUGUUUCCCUUUGUCCCAACAAUUUGAGAAAGAAAAUUAUUAGGACAAAGGGAAAACAAUCAAGCUAGGCUGACAUAAUGGAUUGAAAUCUGAAAGAAAUGUAAGAGCCCUGCCUUCUCAUCAAUUUUCUCCUAUGGGAAUUUUGCUGAAUAAAGUCACACUUGUUGUGAAGCUAAAGCUGCCCUCAAAAAUAUAUUAAGAAUAUCUGCAAUGCAGAAUUUAUUGGAUUGGAUUAAUAGCAGACUGAAUUAAAUAGAAGAAAUUAUUAGUGACAGGCCAAUAGAAAUAAUAAAACUGGAGUACAUAAAAAGAUAUUUUUAAAAGUAUCUUUUUAAUUUAAUUUAAAAAUUAUCAUUUUAACAGAACUGAACAGAAAAGCAAAUAUCUGAAAGAAAAUAUUGACAGUCUAGUAUGCAUGUAAUUGGCGUCCCAGGAGAGCAAAUGGAGAAUGAGGUAGAAAUAUAUAUAUGAAGAGAGACUAGCCAAUAAAUUUUAAACAAUUUAAAAUUUCAAAUUUUUAAAAAAGCAACUGGUUAAAAAUCUGAAAUCAUAGAACUAAAAGGCUUAGUGAACACCAGGCAGAGUAAUUACAAAGAAAAUCUUGCCUGGGUACAUCAUAGUCAAACUAUUUAAAACCAAAGAUAAAGAGAAAGACCUUACAAAACACCUUAGGUAUGAAUGAGAAAUGACUAGCUACAAAUAAUGAGGGAAGCCAGAAGACAAUGGAAUAACCUUAAAAUGCCAAAAGAAAAUCAAUACAUACUUCUUUAUCUAAUAAAAGUAUUGGUCCAUUUGCAGGUGAAAUGAAAAUGUUUUUAGACAGCAAAACAUAAGAUUAUUCAUCACUAGCAGGAAAACAUGAAGAAUACAAAAAUUAAGAAAGCUUCUUUAGGAUGAAAAGAAGUAAGCCCAGGUGGAAGACUGGAUCUCCAUAAAAAAAAUGGAGAGCACAAAAAAGGGUAAAUAUGUGGUUGAAUAUUUUAAAACAUUUAAAAAUUUUUUUUAGCUGUUUAAAGCAAAUACAGUAACAAUGCAUUGUGGAAUUUAAAAUAAUAAAGAAGUAAACUAUAUAACAAUAGCACAAUGGGAAAGGAGACAUAUAUAAGGUCCUUACAUUGUUUUUGAAGUUGUAUACUAUUAACUUGGGGUUCAUUGUGAUAAAAUAAGAAUUAAUAUUGUAAUCUGUAAGUAAUCACUUAGAAGCAAUAUGCAAUGAAAAAGCCAACAGAAUAGAUAAAAUGGUAUACUAAAACUAUUCAAAUAAUAUAUAAAAAGCCAUGAAAUGUGGAGCAAAGAAAAAGAAAAAGAGAAAGGACAAACAGAAAUCAGCUAGCAAGGUGGAAAACACAAGUUUAACCAUAUCAGUAAUUACAUUAAAUAUUAAUAGAAUAAAAACUCCACUUAAAGUACAGAAAAUAUCAGGUUGGAUUUAAUUUAAAAACAAGACCCAACAAAUCAGUUUAUAAUUGGAUGUUCUUUUAUAAUCCAGCCUAACAUUAUCUAGCCUUCAAACAUAAGAAUGCAAAGAGUUUGGAAAUAAAAGGAUUAGGAAGCUUAUAAUAAAAAGAUUAAUGUAGCUAUAUUAACAUCAGAUAAAGUGGAUUUCAAGCCAAUAAGUAUUACCAGGAAUAAAGAAAACAUUUCAUAAUAACCAAAGGGUCAAUUCAUUGGGAAAACAUGAUAAUUCUAAAUGCAAAUGCCCCUAGUAACAUAGAUUCAAAAUAUUUGAGAUAAAAUCAAACAGAAAUAAAAGGGAUAAUAGACAAAUCCAUAAUCAUAGCUGAAGAUUUUAACUCUCCUCUUUCAGAAAUCUGUAAAUGAAGUGUAAAAAAAAAAAUCAACGAGUAUAUGGUGGAUUUGAAUAAUACUGUCAAGCAGCUUGAUGAAAUUGAAAUGUAUAGAACAACAUACUCAGUAAUUGCAGGAUACAUGUUAUUUUUAAAUGCAUUCAAAACACUCGCCAAAAUAGGCCAUAAACUGGGCCAUAAAUUAAGUUGCAAAACAUUUCAAAGGAUUGAAAUCAUGCCGAGUAUAUUCUCUGACUUAAAUGAAACUAGAAAUCAGAGUUUAAAUAAUAACUGGGAAAUCCUCAAAUAUUUGAAAAUUAAGAAAUAACUUUUAAAAUAAACCAUAGGAGAUAUCAUAAGGGAAAUUUAAAAAUAUUUUAGAUCAAACAAGGAUGAAAAUACAACAUAUCAAAUUUUGUGGGAUGCAGCUAAAGCCUUGAUAAGAGAAGACAUUUUAAUACUACAUGCAAAUAUUAGAAAGAAAAAUAAUUUUAUUUAAAAAAUGUAAUCUUCCACUUCAGAAAGCUAGAUAGAAAAGAGCAAAUUAAACUCCAUGGUUGUAGAAGAGGAAAUGACAAUGAUGAGAACAGAAAUCAGUGAAACAGAAAACAGAUGAACAAUAGAGAAAACCAACAAAUCCAAAAGUCAAUUCUAUGAAAAGAUUAAUACAAAUUUGUAAUCCCCUAGCAAGGCCAGUUAAGAAAAAGUAAAAAAUAUAAAUUAUCAAUAUCAGCAGUAAAAUGAGAUACAUGACUACAGAUUUAAAAGAAUAAGAAUAAACAGGGAAUAUUAUAAACAAUUUUACUCCAGUAAGUUUGACAACUUGGGAAAAAUGUAUAUAUUCCUUGAUAAAUACAAUUUUUUGAAACUAAUCCAAAAAUAAAUAGAAACUAUAGAAGUCUCAUAUUGGUUAAUAAAGUUGAAUCUACAAUUAAAAACAUUUCCACAAAGCCCAGAUGGCUUUAUUAAUGAAGUCUACCAAACAAUAAAGGAAGAAGCAAUACAUUCUAUACAAGCUCUUUCAGAAUAUACAGGAAGAGAAAAUGCCUUCCAACUAGCUUUAUGAGGCCAGAGAACCGUGAAACCAAACUUGGCAAGUGCAAGAGAACAGGUCCCUGGGUGGCCUUGGCUCACCCAGUUCUUCCUCCCGUUGCUUGCAAUUCUCUUGCUGAAUGUCCUGAGAAUACAACAUCCUAAGAUAAGGACGAAAUGCCUGGAAAAAGUCCAGAUUAUGUCUUUGAUCCUCUGCAUUAGUCCAUUUUCAUGCUGCUGAGAAAGACAUACCUGAGACUGGGCAAUUUACCAAAGAAAGAGGUUUAAUUGGACUUACAGUUCUACAUGGCUGGGGAGACCUUACAAUAAUGGCUAAAGGCAAGGAGGAGCAAGUCACAUCUUAUGUGGAUGGUAGCAGACAAAUAGAGAGCUUGUGCAGAGAAACCCCCAUUUUUAAAACCAUCAGAUCUCUUGAGACCCAUUCACUAUCAUGAGAACAGCGCAGGGAAGACCUGUCCCCAUGAUUCAGUUGUCUCCCACUGGGUCCCUCCCACAGCAUGUGGGAAUUAUGGGAGCUACAAAAUGAGAUUUAUGUGGGGACACAGAGCCAAACCAUAUCAUUCUGUCCCUGGCCCCUCCCAAAUCUCCUAUCUUCACAUUUCCAGUUUCCAGUUUCCAGUUUCCAGUUUAAAAAUCAGUCAUGGCUUCCCAACAGUCCCCCAAGUCUGAACUCAUUUCAGCAUUAACUCAAAAGUCCACAGUCCAAAGUCUCAUCCUAGAUAAGGCAAAUGCCUUCUGCCUAUGAGCUCGUAAAAUCAAAAGCAAGUUAAUUACUUCCUAGAUUCAAUAGGGGUAUAGCCAUUGGGUAAAUAUAGCUAUUCCAAGUGGGAGAAAUUGGCCAAAACAAAGGGGCUACAAGCCCCAUGCAAGUCAGAAAUCCAGUGGGACAGUCAAAUCUUAAAGUUCCAAAAUGAUCUCCUUUGACUCCAUGUCUCACAUCCAGGUCAUGCUGAUGCAAGAGGUGGGUUCCCAUGGUCUUGGGCGGUGCUAUCCCUGUGGCUUUGCAGGGUACAGCCUCCCUCCCGGCUGCUUUCACAGGCCGACAUUGAGCGUCUGAGGCUUUUCCAAGCACACGAUGCAAGCUGUUAGUGGAUCUACCAUUUUGGGGUCUAGAAGACGGUGGCCCUUUUCUCACAGCUCCACUAUGUGGUGCCCCACUGGGCACAGGUACCAAUGGUAUUAAAAAGCUGUAGAGACACAUUUAAAAUUUAUACAUUCUACUCUAUUUUAUUUAUUCCUGAAAGCACUGAGAAAAAUACAAAAAUGCUGCAUAAAUUAAAAUAAGAUCAGCACUGAAAAGCAUCCAUUGGAAGGAGGCCGUUGAUUGCCUUCUUUGAGAAUAAUAAACGUGAAAUCAGUUUAGAUAGCAUAGAGAGAAAGAGAUGGAGACACUGAAUAUAGUUAAUUCUUUUAAGAAGAUUUGCUAUGAGGAAAAGGAAAACAGAUUUGAUGGCAGUAGGAGGGAAACGUGCACAUUUAUUCUUUAGGGCCAGAAGGGAAAGGAUGCCUCAUAGAUCUGAAAUUCUUUUAAUUUAUAGUUAUUAUGGGAAAAACUAAAAAAUCAGAAUAUUCAAAGCAUUUCCUUUUUUGUACAGUUUUAGAUUUACAGAAAAUUUAAGGGUAUAAUAAAGAGUAGUAGCAUCGAGUUCCAUAUACCUGCUUUUGCUUUCCCCUGCCCCCACCCCACCCUGUAUAGUUUCCCUUAUUAUUAAUAUCUUAUAUUAGUGUGGUACGUUUGUUACCAUUCAUGAACAAAAUUGCUAUAUUAUUAUUAACUGAAGCUCAUGGUUUACAUCAAGUUUCAAUCUUUCCAUUGUACAGUUUUAUGAGUUUUGGAAAAUGUGAAAAAUGCAUGAUGUCAUAUAUAUAUUAAUACCAUAACAGUUCAAUGCAGAAUAGUUUCAGCAUCCUAAAAAUUGCCUGUGCUUCACCUAUUCAUCCCUUCUCCAACCCUCUUUUUUUUUUUUUUUUGAGGCAGAAUCUCUCUCUCUCUCACCCAGGCUGGAGUGAAGUGGCACGAUCUCAGCUCACUGCAACCUCUGCCUCCCAGGUUCAAGUGAUUCUCCUGCCUCAGCCUCCUGAGUAGCUGGGAUUACAGACGCGUGCCACCACUCCUGGCUAAUUUUUGUAUUUUUAAUUGAGACUAGGUUUCACCAUGUUGGUCAGGCUGGUCUUGAACUCCUCACCUCAGGUUAUCCACCCACCUCAGCCUCCCAAAGUGCUGAGAUUACAGGCGUAAGCCAUCGCGCCCGGCUCCUCUUUUUGUUUAUAAAUAGAAAAAUUACCAAACUAUCUCCAAUCCUUAGAACCCCUGGUAACCAAUGAUGUUUUUACUGUCUCUACAGCUUUACCUUUUCCAGGAUGUUACAUAGUUGGAAUCAUACUUCUUUUAUCUUAAAAGUUAGCUCUGCACAUUUGCAGUCAAUCUUUUCUUUUACCCCCAGCAUCAGACAACUACUGAUCUGUUUUCUGACUCCAUAGUUUGUCUACUAUAAAAAUUUGUAUACAUAUAAUUAUACAAUAUGCAGAUCUUUAAAAUGGCUUUGUUAUUAGCAUAUUUAUCAAUUUCAUCUGUUUGUUGCAUGUAUCAGUAGUUUGUUCUUUUUAAUUGUUGAGUAGUACUCCAUGGUAUAUAUUUAUUUACUGCAGAUUUUGGAAGAACCAUUCUUGUUGUAUGUAUUUUUUAGGUUCCAAAAAUUUGUUACUGUUGUCACCUCUCUUCUUGUGAAUUUCUGUCGUUAUAACAUGCAGUUAUAGUGAAGCUUUUGAGACACUGAAAUUGAAGGUGUCUGCUAAAGCUACUCUUUAAACUCAGAAGUUUUUUUUUUUCCUUUACUUCAUAAGGUGAUAGGUGAAGACUUGUCCCAUCAUUUUACUGUGAGGAGAAUAAUUACUAUGACAUUUCAAGUAUGUAAAAUUAAAAUAUAUCUAAUGAAC